AGAGUUUGAUCAUGGCUCAGAACGAACGUUGGCGGCGUGGAUUAGGCAUGCAAGUCGAGCGAGGACACGUUGGUAGCAAUAUUAGCGUGAGUCGAGCGGCGUAAGGGGCAGUAAUACCUGGGGACGUACCCUCGAGUCGGGAAUAGCCACGAGAAAUUGUGGGUAAUGCCCGAUAACACUGAGAAGUCAAAGGCUUGCCGCUGGAGGAGCGGCCCAGGCGAUAUUAGCUAGUUGGUGGGGUAACGGCCUACCAAGGCAAAGAUGUCUAGCGGGUGUGAGAGCACGACCCGCGCCACUGGCACUGAGACACUGGCCAGACACCUACGGGUGGCUGCAGUCGAGGAUCUUCGGCAAUGAGCGCAAGCUUGACCGAGCGACGCCGCGUGCGGGAUGAAGGCCUUCGGGUUGUAAACCGCUUUGGUCCGGAAGUAAGGGUAACACUUGAACAACCGGAGAAACAAGCACGGGCUAAGUUCGUGCCAGCAGCCGCGGUAAGACGAACCGUGCGAACGUUGUUCGGAAUCACUGGGCUUAAAGGGCGCGUAGGCGGCCGAGCGGGUCGUGGGUGAAAUCCCCCAGCUUAACUGGGGAAGUGCUUACGAUACCACUGCGGCUGGAGGAAGGAAGGGGCAGCGGGAACUGUCGGUGGAGCGGUGAAAUGCGUUGAUAUCGACAGGAACGCCGAUGGCGAAAGCACGCUGCUGGUCCUUUUCUGACGCUGAGGCGCGAAAGCCAGGGGAGCAAACGGGAUUAGAUACCCCCGUAGUCC
rnacentral:rRNA from 1 species